UGCGUAGGCGGCUUUGCAAGUCAGAUGUGAAAUCUAUGGGCUCAACCCAUAAACUGCAUUUGAAACUGUAGAGCUUGAGUGAAGUAGAGGCAGGCGGAAUUCCCCGUGUAGCGGUGAAAUGCGUAGAGAUGGGGAGGGAACACCAGUGGCGAAGGCGGCCUGCUGGGCUUUAACUGACGCUGAGGCACGAAAGCGUGGGUAGCAAACA
rnacentral:rRNA from 1 species